rnacentral:rRNA from 1 species
UACGUAGGGGGCAAGCGUUGUCCGGAUUUAUUGGGCGUAAAGAGCGUGUAGGCGGUUAGGUAGGUCCGUUGUGAAAACUCGAGGCUCAACCUCGAGACGCCGAUGGAAACCAUCUAACUAGAGUCCGGAAGAGGAGAGUGGAAUUCCUGGUGUAGCGGUGAAAUGCGCAGAUAUCAGGAAGAACACCCGUGGCUAAGGCGGCUCUCUAGUACGGUACUGACGCUGAGACGCGAAAGCGUGGGGAGCGAACAGGG